rnacentral:tRNA from 1 species
UGUCCAGCAUUGGGAAUCGAACCCACAGUGUUCCGCUUACCGGGCAGAUGCCAUGUCCACUAGGCUACCUUGGAC